CAAACACCAAGACGGUCUGGUUCUGGUCAUAGUCACAUCCUGAUUCAGAAGACAGUCUGAUUUCAGGUCAUAGUCACACCCUGAUUCAGAAGGCAGUAUUCUGAUUUCAGGUCAUAGUCACACCCUGAUUCAGAAGGCAGUAUUCUGAUUUCAGGUCAUAGUCACACCCUGAUUCAGAAGGCAGUAUUUGGAUUUCAGGUCAUAGCCACACCCUGAUUCAGAAGGCGGUGUUAAAAGCCCUCCAAUCAUCAGCUGAAUUAGAUCGUCUUGCUUUAGCCCACACUGCUUUCCGUUUCCUUCUGAUUUCAGCCAGUUCAUCAGAGAACCAUCCCUUCAUUCUGUAUUGGUGGCUUGUAAAUGUGAACUUUGUAGAGGUGUGGAGUGUCAGGGGUUCUAUGUACAGUGGACCAGGACAGGGGACCAGGACAGGGGUACAGGGGACCAGGACAGGGGUACAGGGGACCAGGACAGGGGUACAGGGGAACAGCACAGGGGUACAGGGGAACAGGACAGGGGUACAGGGGCCCAGGACAGGGGUACAGGGGCCCAGGACAGGGGUACAGG
ensembl:lncRNA